UCUCUCCUCAUAUCAAAAAAACAUUUUGAGAGUUAUGUCUUCUCGCUCCUCCUCUCAGUUAUCUCUCUUCUCUGGUUUCGUCCGAAGCGAUCUUCUCCGGCUCCAUUCGCCGGUCUCUCUCUCCGGUUGCCGGUAGGUGCUCGUUUGGUUUCUCCUCCGUUUGUCUUCUCACGAAGUCCACCUCCAUUUUUCCAUGUUAUUUACUCUCUCUGCGCUGCUCUGUUAUGUUAUGUUCUGCGAGAGCUCACUGAAGAAAGGACAAAAAGUCAAGCUUUUUGACGCACAGAAACCCGCAAAGAAAUCAUGGGCGGCGAUAUGACAUCUUCUUCUGUGGCUCAGGGAUGGUUUGAACAUGAAGGUGGAGAUUUGUACAGUGGAUGAAAGAGGCGAAUUGCUCUAUCAACAGGUUGACAAAGUAAGUCAUCGAAAUUCCUUAGUUUCUUUGGAGUUUGAAACUAAUUAGAGGAGGAGAGGCCGUGUUUAUCAAGAAAUCUUACGAAGUUUUGAUGAAUUGAGGAUUCGCAGUCAGAGAUUGGAAGAGGCAAAGAGCAAAAUCUUGAGAUUUUUAUGUUAUGUAAUUCAUAUUUUUACUAUUAAGUAUUUCCUUUGUUCUUGUGAUCAUUUUGGGAAAAGGAAUCACUACUUU